GAUGAAGAACGUAGCGAAAUGCGAUAAGUAAUGUGAAUUGCAGAAUUCAGUGAAUCAUCGAAUCUUUGAACGCACAUUGCGCCCGCCAGUAUUCUGGCGGGCAUGCCUGUUCGAGCGUCAUUACAACCCUCAGGCCCCCGGGCCUGGCGUUGGGGAUCGGCGGAAGCCCCCUGCGGGCACAACGCCGUCCCCCAAAUACAGUGGCGGUCCCGCCGCAGCUUCCAUUGCGUAGUAGCUAACACCUCGCAACUGGAGAGCGGCGCGGCCACGCCGUAAAACACCCAACUUCUGAAUGUUGACCUCGAAUCAGGUAGGAAUAGCCGCUGAACUUAAGCAUAUCAAUAAGCGGAGGA
rnacentral:misc_RNA from 1 species